UCUGCACUGUCGAACUAACUUUUGCGAUUUUUACAAAGAAAUACCACGUUUUGGCUUAUAUUAACGCAUGGAUUUUAGGAUAAAGGAUUAUCUUCCUAGGCUGUUCUUUACGUUAUUGGUUUUGACAGCCUGGGGUUUUGUUCUCUACGCUGGAUAUAAAGUUUCAGUAAAGAUGGUUUCUUGAUUUGGGGACACGUACUUGCAAUUCAGGUUGAAGAAAGAACGACUCCACUGAACAUGAAACUGUUACCAAACAGGAAAAACACAAGUUUUGAGACCUUGGCCUUGUAUAAACAUACCACUCUCUAUGAGCUUGGGCUACAAGUCAUGACAACUAAGACUGCAAGGCAAAUAUCUUGCUACAAGCAUUUUCUACACCAAAUAUGUUUAUAGCUAAAUGCAAAUGAAGAAAAAAACAACAACAAAAAAACCAGUCAAACCCUUGUAGAGAUAUAUAUGCUAACAGUAGGUUUCACAGGAAGGAUCAUAAUGCUCACUUGUCUUAGCAAUGAAUACCAUAAUGGAUUGGACAAAACUAUGUAAGAUGCACCAGUAAUUUAUGAUCUUCCUCACACUCUCUGUGAAAGUCUGAGGACGAUAUCCAAGCACAAAGGGGGGAAAAGGUGUGGUGAUGAUCAACACCAAAGAGGGGAUAAUCCUAUUGUAGAUUAAAGAUAAAGCAUGGCUAGCAGGAAUCUCCAAGCACGAAAUUCAUUUACAAAGACAGAACAUCUACAGCCAAAAUAACAACAUCCAGACUACACUAUUGCAAGUAUAACUUUAAAGUUCAAACCUUAUUCAUUGGCCAAUCACACAUCGUCUACACACUUCCAAAUCUUGGAGUCGUGUGUAAGACACCAUUCAAGAAGGAAUUUGUAUAUCAGUCAAAAAAAUUAUAGUUCUUCAGAAUGUUGGUGAACUAACAGAGAAAGAUCAGACGGGAACACAAAAGGAAUGCCCGUAUUUUUUUUUUGCGAGAGGUGGGGAACAGGCUGAACGUAACCCAUGCUGCAGGAUAUGGUUACUACUGGUCAGCUGUAUGUACAAACAAUGACAAAACAGAUGAAGACUGACUACCACUAUAGAAAGCUUUAUUUACAGAUAUCUAACAAUAAAUCAACAAAUUUAUUUCAACACAAACACUUUAAAAAAAGUUUGCUAGUACAGCCACUAAAAGUAGCUAUUUAGUGGAAGUACUGGCAGUGUAAAAUAACAUUAUAUUUUACACAUAUUGUGUUUGAAUGCUAUACUCAUAAACCUAGAUUGCUAAUCACAAAAGAAAAUUGAAAUUUAUAUUCAUCAAAUAAAAGCUUUUAAAUAAAUUUUCUUAUGCGAGGGUGAUAUGCUACAUACAUUUAUCUAUUUCUUGAUUGUGUAUCAAAACAUGCUGUCAAUCAAAUUGAUGACAGAAUUCAGUAAUGAACRGCUAAAGAUUAAUGCAGUUUUCUACACYYAAACACAGCUGAGAGAUCUUGCCUGAGAAKGUAGCAAGAAACAACUGGGUKUGAGUUUUGUUUGCCAGCUUUGACAACAAACUGCAUUGUAGUAAUGAUUGUCGUCUUWUACACUUAGGAACAUAUUUUCAUAAAAAAGGCCAUGUCCAAUUGUGUGCACAUUGAUGGCUAAUGGUAGGGGUAAUAACUACUCUCCUUCCCUACUAGUAAAGGCUGGUAAACUGUUGAUCCUAAAUAGAUAAAUAGGAAGAGUUCUGACAAUGAAGAAACCAGUCUUAUUUUGUACAGGUUUCCUAGUAUUCUUAUUUGGGUUUACAGUGGAAGCCUCUACUAGCUGGAAAACAAUGUUCUUGAAUUAUCCUGAUAUUAAUAACUAUUUACAUAUAAAUCUAAGAAGCCACAUCAAAAUCUAGUGCUUCUUGUGCAUUGUCUCAGUGUUUGACCGAUUGAAACAAUGAAUGUUACUACUUAAAGGCCCCAUGUGCAUCAGAGAUCAACCUUUGCAUGCUUUUCUCACAUAUUAAAUUCGCUAUCUUUGAUUUGUAACCAAUCAGAAAGCACGGUUCAACAAGAUAUCAUAAUGCAAUGAUUGCAAAGUUUCUCCAGUGCAUGUGGGCCUUAAAAAUAAACAGUUACUUUUAUUACAAUGUUGAACUACUGUAGUUGUAAUUUGGAUGCUUUACUUUCUCAUACAAGUAUUCUAUCAUUUCUAUGUGAAAUUACAAGAAGUCUUGCAUCACGAUGACAAAUCAAUAGAUGCUAAUCACAGGAAAAAAGUAAUUUGAAAUAGGAAAAACCUCAAUUCACACCAAGUCUACGUAUGAAGAUUUCAUCUGUCAGGUAGCUGUGAAUUGCAUACAUAUACCUUGAAAAUAAUUUAAAAAUGCAAACCAACAAACUACUCUCAACAUCAUUUUUUCUUUAUAGAAAUGACUUACAUACACCUGAAUAAUAGUCCUUGGCACAGGCUGCCCAACCUCCUAUGUUUUUAUGUACACAUGGUAUGCAUUUUCAAAGCUAUAUGUGGAAAACAUUACGUAACAUAAUUUAAUUAUUUUUCAUAAAUUAGUAAAUAACUUACAACUUAAUAAUCACUAAAACAAUGAAAAAUCUUGAUUCUAGGCAUGAUUAUGUCUAUCGUUUUCUAUUAUGACAAAAUUGUCURUCAGAUUUUUGAGUAGAAAUAAAGACGAGAACCAUU